rnacentral:rRNA from 1 species
AUUGAACGCUGGCGGCAGGCCUAACACAUGCAAGUCGAACGGUAACAGGAAGCAGCUUGCUGCUUCGCUGACGAGUGGCGGACGGGUGAGUAAUGUCUGGGAAGCUGCCUGAUGGAGGGGGAUAACUACUGGAAACGGUAGCUAAUACCGCAUAAUGUCGCAAGAUCAAAGAGGGGGACCUUCGGGCCUCUUGCCAUCGGAUGUGCCCAGAUGGGAUUAGCUUGUUGGUGGGGUAACGGCUCACCAAGGCGACGAUCCCUAGCUGGUCUGAGAGGAUGACCAGCCACACUGGAACUGAGACACGGUCCAGACUCCUACGGGAGGCAGCAGUGGGGAAUAUUGCACAAUGGGCGCAAGCCUGAUGCAGCCAUGCCGCGUGUAUGAAGAAGGCCUUCGGGUUGUAAAGUACUUUCAGCGGGGAGGAGGGGAGUAAAGUUAAUACCUUUGCUCAUUGACGUUACCCGCAGAAGAAGCACCGGCUAACUCCGUG